UACGGAGGGGGCUAGCGUUGUUCGGAAUUACUGGGCGUAAAGCGCACGUAGGCGGCUUUGUAAGUUAGAGGUGAAAGCCCAGGGCUCAACCCUGGAAUUGCCUUUAAGACUGCAUCGCUUGAACAUCGGAGAGGUAAGUGGAAUUCCGAGUGUAGAGGCGAAAUUCGUAGAUAUUCGGAAGAACACCAGUGGCGAAGGCGGCUCACUGGACUGGUAUUGACGCUGAGGUGCGAAAGCGUGGGGAGCAAACAGG
rnacentral:rRNA from 1 species